CUAAGACUCCUUAGUAGCUUGGAACUUCAGAUGACUUUGAUCAACAACUAUAGGGAUGCUGCUACACUAAAAAGCACCUUUGUAUGCACUAGGAAAAUUGUCUUCCUUCAGAUGGUCCUAAACUGGGCAUAUGUUUGGCCAGAAAAACACAGGCUGAAUUUUUAUUCCAACUUGUCUCUUGGCAGUGCAUAAACUGUACAAACGUAUAACCAUAAUGCUGAUUGCUGCUUCUCUGUUCUUUCCCUUAUCUCAUCUCCAGGCAGAUUUUAGUUGUAUUGUUU
rnacentral:lncRNA from 10 species